rnacentral:lncRNA from 1 species
AUAACAUUUUUCUUUUGUUUUUUUUUAUCGUUUCUUAUUUUUGAAGAAAAUAAAGUUAAUAUGUUAAUGCCAAAAAAUACACUGAUAAGAAUUAGUGGACAAUUAAGAUACGAACUUCUUUUUGGAAUUCCCAAAAAAAAAAAAAUUUUUCUUGAAGAUAGUGUUGUCGAAAGGAAAAAUAGCUACUUAUUAAUUUUUCGGUUCAUUAAUGAAAACAACUUAGAUAGUAUGUUAAUGCAAAAACAAAAAAAAGAAAUAGUUAAAGAUGCAAAACAAAAUAAUGAAUGUACUUCAAUAAAUAUAAAUGAUUAUACGUCAGAAAAUUUGGAAAAAAAAUACGUACUUGAUGUAUAUAACCAAAUAGCUAAGCAUUUUUGUUAUACCAGAUACAAGUCAUGGAAUAACGUUGAAAGAAUAAUAAAUGAAGAAAAAGAGGGUAAUUUAAUAAUGGAUAUUGGAUGUGGUAAUGGUAAAAAUGCGAAGUUAUCAUCCAAAUAUUUUUUUAUAGGUUUAGAUUUUAGUUUUUAUUUACUAAAAUUAGCAAAAAAAAAAUCUAAUAGUGAUUUAUUUUUGGCAAACUGUAUAAAUAUACCUAUAAGAUCAAGUAAGAUCAAUCUGUUUUUUUUUUUUAUUUUAUCACGUCAUACUUUCAUCUUAUUAACCUUUUUCUUUUAAUUUUUUUUUUUUAUUUUUUAUAUUUCUUUUUCUUUUUUUUUUUAUUUUUUAUAUUUCUUUUUCUUUUUUUUUU